GCCACCGUGUCUCAGCACCCCUCAAGCUGCCUCAUGAGGAAUCGCCAUCCUAUUGGCUUGACAGCAGCCAUCACCACCAUCAUGCUGAUUUUCUUCCAAUCGAGACCCCUCGCUGGUUCUCUUAGGCUUGCGAGUUGCCAGGCACAGAGCACAAGCUGCCAUUUCCUGGCAGUCACAGGAGAACCACUUUGGCUUGUGCGCCAAAACAAUUUUGGAAAGGAGGUGCAGAAAACCCGGGAUUCUCCCCUCCAUGAAAUAAAGGAAGAGAAGGAAACUGAGAAAGGGAAGAGCGGGGAAACAGGGGAGUCUGUCUGACAUGUGACCUGGAUAUCAAGCAUCCAGAAGCCAAAAGCAAACCCCAGAGCUGCCCACAGCUGGCUUCAGCUUCCCACGAUCCACCGCUUCCACCAACAUGCAGACAGGCCAGAUGCCUCCCGGAGCUUUGGCACCUGGGGAUGGCCAAAGGUGAUGACAGCAGAGAGAGGGACUCGGUGCUCAGUGGUGUUGCCCCUGAGGUUCUGCUGCCUCUUUGCCUUUGCCUGGGGGUUUCCCUCCGCCCGCCCAGCACCUGUGACACAGGAGGGAAGUUCAAAACCAACGCAACCUUAGCCAGGACCCAGGUAGUCAGAGGGGAUGGGAACGGGGACAGAGAUGGGGUCCUGGACUGGAAGUCUCUGCUCACUGGGGAGAGAGGAAAGAUAAGCAUCUGCUCAGGAGGAUUUGGGGAGAAAUAUGGUUACAUGCUUGUUUACCCCUUGCUUGGCAGAUGGCAGCCAGGAAGCAAUCUGAACGCAGGGAUUUCCAUCUUGCACAGUGAUGGGCGGGAGUGCUGCACACACUGCUUCUGCCAGUCGGUGAACACGGCCAACCCGAGAGAUGGUACCCGAAGGGUGUGGAGCCGUCCACGAAGCGACAGGCUGGUGGCAAGGCCACCGCCAGCGGUGCAGCCAACCUGAGCAGGCAGUUCGGCCAGUGAUGCUCAGUGGUUGUGACCUGGUGACAUUCAGUACGGUCAAAGAGAGGACCGUCCCAACUCGUAACACAGCACCGUGUGAUGUACUGCUACAGGGCUGAUUUCCCAAAGAUGAAGGAAACUGUGAGUCAAAACUGACAGCGAAAGAUUUCACACGGAAAGACACAAAUUAACGUGGAUGAGUCUGUAAAAAGACUGCAUUAAGUUGCCAAAGAGCCAUAAUUCCUCCUUCAGGAGAGUCCAUCUGGCACAGACUCAGUGCAAAGACAGCAAUUAGAACAAAAAGCAAUAUGUAACAAAUAGAAAUGAGGAGAUGGAGGGAUUGACAGCAAUUAAUAUGAAUUAGUUUUAUGAAGUGCAUGAAGUGCAGAAAGAAAAAAGGCACCUUCAGACAGCAAUUCUUGUCUGUCAGUUUUAAGGACAAAAUAAGUCAUAUUUAAAAUUAUCUUUAGAAAAAAGAAGUCCUAGUAAUAAUCUAGGACUUUUAAUAGAUGGAAGGAUUAACACUGUUCAUAAUGAUGCAGAAAAAGACAAAUUUUUAAUAAAUACUUCUUAUUGGAGUUCAGAAAUAAUCAAGAA